GCCCAGGUGGCGGAACUGGUAGACGCGUAGGCUUCAGAAGCCUAUGUCAGCAAUGGCGUGUGGGUUCAAAUCCCACUCUGGGCA
rnacentral:tRNA from 1 species